UACGUAGGGACCAAGCGUUGUUCGGAUUUACUGGGCGUAAAGGGCGCGUAGGCGGCUUAACAAGUCACUUGUGAAAUCUCCGGGCUUAACUCGGAACGGCCAAGUGAAACUGUUAUGCUAGAGUGCAGAAGGGGCAAUCGGAAUUCUUGGUGUAGCGGUGAAAUGCGUAGAUAUUCGGCGGAACACCAGUGGCGAAGGCGACUCACUGGCCCGAUACUGACGCUGAGGCGCGAAAGCGUGGGGAGCAAACAGG
rnacentral:rRNA from 1 species